GAUGAACGCUGGCGGCGUGCUUAACACAUGCAAGUCGAACGAUGAAGCCCAGCUUGCUGGGUGGAUUAGUGGCGAACGGGUGAGUAACACGUGAGUAACCUGCCCUUAACUCUGGGAUAAGCCUGGGAAACUGGGUCUAAUACCGGAUAGGAGCGUCCACCGCAUGGUGGGUGUUGGAAAGAUUUAUCGGUUUUGGAUGGACUCGCGGCCUAUCAGCUUGUUGGUGGGGUAAUGGCUCACCAAGGCGACGACGGGUAGCCGGCCUGAGAGGGUGACCGGCCACACUGGGACUGAGACACGGCCCAGACUCCUACGGGAGGCAGCAGUGGGGAAUAUUGCGCAAUGGGCGCAAGCCUGAUGCAGCGACGCCGCGUGAGGGAUGACGGCCUUCGGGUUGUAAACCUCUUUCAGUAGGGAAGAAGCGAAAGUGACGGUACCUGCAGAAGAAGCACCGGCUAACUACGUG
rnacentral:rRNA from 1 species